GAUGAAGAACGUAGCGAAAUGCGAUAAGUAAUGCGAAUUGCAGAAUUCAGUGAGUCAUCGAAUCUUUGAACACACAUUGCGCCCUGUGGUAUUCCGCAGGGCAUGCCUGUUCGAGCGUCAUUUCAACCCUCAAGCUCUGCUUGGUGUUGGGCCCUGCCCGCUGCGGCCGGCCCUAAAGACAGUGGCGGUGCCGCCUGGCCCUGAGCGUAGUACAUCUCUCGCUCCAGUGCCCGGUGGUAGCCUGCCAGAACCCCAACUCUCGUGGUUGACCUCGGAUCAGGUAGGGAUACCCGCUGAACUUAAGCAUAUCAAUAAGCGGAGGA
rnacentral:misc_RNA from 1 species